UACGGGGGGGGUAAGCGUUGUUCGGAAUUACUGGGCGUAAAGCGCACGUAGGCGGACUAUUAAGUCAGGGGUGAAAUCCCGGGGCUCAACCCCGGAACUGCCUUUGAUACUGGUAGUCUCGAGUCCGGAAGAGGUGAGUGGAAUUCCGAGUGUAGAGGUGAAAUUCGUAGAUAUUCGGAGGAACACCAGUGGCGAAGGCGGCUCACUGGUCCGGUACUGACGCUGAGGUGCGAAAGCGUGGGGAGCAAACAGG
rnacentral:rRNA from 1 species